AAAUAGAAAUUAGUCUUGCAUAUGCUCUAAUAAAAGUAAAAAAAAAACUUAAUGUUAUCGAGAGGUGUUUAAUAGUGAUGGAUUUAAUAGCUGUUUUAUCAGUGAUGUGUUAAAACAAAGAGAUGUCCUUCAAAAUAACUGUUUAUUAUUCAAUAGUUAAAUGUUAGUAAACACUAAAAAAUGUAUUGUGUAACUUUUAAAUCAUCAAGAAUUUGUUUAAUACUAUAUAUAUAUAUUCCUUCUAAUUAAAACUCCUUUAUUAGUUAAACCCGUAUGUGAGGUGAUCUUUCCAUUAAAGUUGUGAUCAGCCAAUGUUACACUGAUUUUUUUACCGAAGUUCAGCAGUAAAACAAAUAAUGUUGAAAAAAACACUUAUUGGUUUUAUUUUGCUAUUGCAAUUCACGUGAGGCUGGAAAAAAACGUUAUAUUAUAUUAUAAUUUCAAUGUCAAUUUCAUAAAGAAAAUAAAGAAAAUAUUUAUGUACAUAUGACAUAUAUAUACGCUGUAAACACGUAAAAGUGGAAAAAAUCAUUUUCAGAAAGGUAUCCUUUCACUUGGGUUCAUGUUUUAAUCACGGAAAUUACUUUUACAGAAAAAAGACACAAAUUCCAUAAUAGCGUAUUUUAUUGAAAAUAAAACAAAAAACUGGGAUUCUGUGCAAAAAGACCACUGCUCUAAUGUAUCUCAUCAUAUUCCUUUGUUCUGGGAAAAAUUGAACAAACUCGGAAAAAACGUUAAAAAUCGUUUAUUUUUCUGCAAUAUUUUCCUAUUAAACGCCACUAGAACUCUCAGAGUAAGCGUCGAGCGGAGUAGUAAUGGCGCAUGUAGGCUCUGGUUGAGAAAAAGAGGUCAACAACGACGGCAAUAUUUCUUCUUCCAUUUUGUGAGAAUGCCUUCUUCAUGAAAGAAAGUCCCCCUCAAAUGUCUCCUCCCGCCUCCUAGUUCGCUUUGCAGCACGACAAAUAUGUUUAAAGAGCUGGCGAUCUUGACAAAAUAUUUCUCCGAUUGAUUCCUAUUGCACUAGCCGCCUAGUAUAGUAAUACAUUGGGUCUGUGCUGUGUCUAUGAGCGGGCUGUGCUACUGACUGGGUUUCUAUGAGCUCCUAAUGGCCGCUCGUCUUCAUCCACUAACAUAGAGAAUAUGGCUCCUUCUCUUUGUGUCAGCGCACAGCCAUUGCACUGCGUGCAAUAGAGGGCAGAGCGACCGAGGCGACCACUUCACUUCAAAGCCCGAUUAAAACGUCUUCCGAGUAUCGGAAAAAUGUAAUAAAGGUGUCGUUGGAAACACGAAAGAUUGAAUUUUCUUUUGACGUCGUUAAAUAUCACAGUUACGGGUUUGUUUCCCCAGAAAACACGGUUAGAAAAAGUUGAAGUGAACUGCGCCUCUGUCACUGGCUUCCCAUUUACCUCGCUGCCUUGUUUCCUAUGCGAAUACAGUCAGCCAUUACAGUAAAGCGCAGAUCGUGAGCUAAUUUUUACACCAUUUUGUUGGGCGUAAAUAUGACCAACAAACAUAUGUCUGUGCUUGUUUUGUGACGGCCUAUCUUUUUCUCGUGUUUUCAGGUAAAUUCUGUGCUGAAAUCAAAACACCCCGCUUCUCAGUCUUCACAUGACAGGCGUUCGGCUUCGCAAUGCACUGCAAUGCCAAUGCUUAGCUAACGAUUGCCACGUUUUGGACCACAAUGAGUGAAACUCCUGGGUGUGUACAGAAGAAAAUCUCAAAUUAGGAGCAGCUCAGCUUUGAAAACCAGAAUAUCUGCUUAUAAAGGCGAUCUUUUUCAAUGUGAUUCAGUUUCUUGGCUGACAGUAAAGGAAAUGCAAUUAUC